rnacentral:rRNA from 1 species
AGCGAACGCUGGCGGCAGGCCUAACACAUGCAAGUCGAACGGAUCCUUCGGGAUUAGUGGCGGACGGGUGAGUAACACGUGGGAACGUGCCUUUUGGUUCGGAACAACUCAGGGAAACUUGAGCUAAUACCGAAUGUGCCCUUCGGGGGAAAGAUUUAUCGCCAUUAGAGCGGCCCGCGUCUGAUUAGCUAGUUGGUGAGGUAAAGGCUCACCAAGGCUACGAUCAGUAGCUGGUCUGAGAGGAUGAUCAGCCACAUUGGGACUGAGACACGGCCCAAACUCCUACGGGAGGCAGCAGUGGGGAAUCUUGCGCAAUGGGCGAAAGCCGACGCAGCCAUGCCGCGUGAAUGAUGAAGGUCUUAGGAUUGUAAAAUUCUUUCACCGGGGACGAUAAUGACGGUACCCGGAGAAGAAGCCCCGGCUAACUUCGUGCCAGCAGCCGCGGUAAUACGAAGGGGGCUAGCGUUGCUCGGAAUUACUGGGCGUAAAGGGAGCGUAGGCGGAUAGUUUAGUCAGAGGUGAAAGCCCAGGGCUCAACCUUGGAAUUGCCUUUGAUACUGGCUAUCUUGAGUAUGGGAGAGG